AGGAAGUUGUUCCCAAUAACACUGAGCAGAAGCAAAUUCCAAGAGAAGACACACUCUACCAACACUACCUGGAACAGCUUCGUAAACUGAGCAAAUACAACAAAC